rnacentral:rRNA from 1 species
GACGAACGCUGGCGGCGUGCUUAACACAUGCAAGUCGAACGACGUGGCGCACGGGUGAGUAACGCGUAAUCAACCUGCCCUUCAGAGGGGGACAACAGUUGGCAACGACUGCUAAUACCUCAUACUUAAGCAGGGGGUUGCGUUUGAUUAGCUCGUUGGAGGGGUAACGGCCCACCACGGCGAUGAUCAGUAGGCGGGCUGAGAGGAAUAACGGGCAAAUUGGGAAUGGGAAAAGGCCCAGGAUCCUUCGGGAAGUAGCAGGGGGGAAAUUUCCGACAUGGGCGGAAGUCUUAAGGAGCAAAGGCGGGGGAGAGAUGGAGGCCUUCGGGGUGUAAAGCUAUGUUAAUCGGGAAGCGGUACCGGAAGAGAAAGCCACGGCUAACUACGUGCCAGCCGCCGCGGUAAUAC